CACUGGGGUUACACGUCUUUUUUAUUUAAAAAAUAUAUUUAAUUUUAAAUUUAAAUAAUAGAACGUUUCUAGUGUUUGCUUUUGUGCUUUGUCUAUUGCUUUUGUGUUGUGUCCGGACUGAUUGCGACGGUCGCCGAAGACAUGAAGCCCAAAACAACUAUUGGUCGCUGCACAGGACUAGUAAUCCAAUUAUACUCUUGUGCGUGUUCCAAUAGUUAUUGUGGGUGCUUCAUAAUCUACACUGCAAGACUGCGAACACCCUGGCUCUUAUUGGAAUUAUGAUUUAAUGUUUUUAGAUUUACCUGGUCGUACUGAAACAUACUUGAUUCGGGGAAAUUACAAUUUAUAAACAACAAACAAAGAAAACAUAUUUCUAAAUCAUAAGCUUAAAUCAUUUUAUUUUGCAACGCAUGCAUGACGCUGUGCGUUCGACGCACGUGUGCGCUGCAUGUAUACGUGCGCUCGCGCGUCUUCGAAUCAACUUGAUCAGUUUCAGGGUGAAUCCGCACUUAAUUUUUUCACCAUCUUUCACAAUGAUUUCUGUAUUAAAAUGCAAAAUAUUGAAAAGUCGUCUGUUUUUUUUAAUUAUAUUGACUUCUUCACUGAUAAACUAUUGAACCGGAUUUGGAUGAAAUGUGGUACAAAUAGCUUGAGGAUUUUACCUCGGAAAUCUCAAAUCCCAAUAUCAAAUCCCAGGAUUUUUUCGUCUUUUCCUUUGACUAUAUCGGGGAACCCUGGGCGAAAACCUAUUAACAAAUAUACUACUCACAUGUGCGUCAGCGAGAUCAGAAACCUUACACACGUUGCGGCGCUAGGAACAAGAAAUAUGAGCAAAUGUCCACUAAUACGGAGAGGCAAAUGCUGAGUAGUCCACCUUAUCACAAAUACUGACCAAAUACUAGAAUA